CUUGACGGACCCCAGGAACAGGGGCUGCUCGGGCAAGCGGUCCUGGCCGUAGGUGGCCAGCAGGGCCUGGGCCUC
rnacentral:antisense_RNA from 1 species